UACGUAGGGCGCAAGCGUUAUCCGGAAUUAUUGGGCGUAAAGAGCUCGUAGGCGGUUUGUGGCGUCUGCCGUGAAAGUCCGGGGCUCAACUCCGGAUCUGCGGUGGGUACGGGCAGACUAGAGUGAUGUAGGGGAGACUGGAAUUCCUGGUGUAGCGGUGAAAUGCGCAGAUAUCAGGAGGAACACCGAUGGCGAAGGCAGGUCUCUGGGCAUUAACUGACGCUGAGGAGCGAAAGCAUGGGGAGCGAACAGG
rnacentral:rRNA from 1 species